GUCGGUGGUUGAGUGGUAUAACCCGUUGUUUUCGACAGCCAGGACCUGGGUUCGAAUCCCACAUUAGACA